rfam:Reichenbachiella faecimaris strain DSM 26133 genome assembly, contig: Ga0069982_11
AGAGAGGUGGCCGAGUGGCUUAAGGUGCUCGCUUGGAAAGCGAGUGUGCCCCACAAGGGCACCGGGGGUUCGAAUCCCUUCCUCUCUG